UCGCUCAAUAGAAAAUGGGUAACAUAAUUAGAAAAAAAAAUAUAUAUAUAUAUAGCAGGCAUGAUUUGUUAACGACUGAGAGAGUAAGGUGAAGUUGUAAAUGGUUUGUUUGGGUGAUAAAAAAUGUGUCUGUAAUUUUAGUUAUGUUAUUAAACUUUAUAAUGACGGAGGAGGAGAUUGAAGGUUGGAUAGAGAAAGAAGAAAGAAAGAGUGUGAUUCAUUCACUCACUCACUCACCCAAUUCAUCAUCGGAAGCCACGACUCUCACUGUGAAGACUCUGAAAGCAGCCAUUUCGAAAUUAAGGGCUUCAAAGAAUAGCACAUCUGCAACAGUUGUCGCGACUACAAAAUGGAAUUCCUGAAGUUGCAGAAGUUGCUAUACAAUCUCCUGAUUUCCCAAGUAGUCAGACAACUGAAACAGGUGGGGGUCACUGCUGAAUCUGUUCUCGGGGUACCCAACUCGUCUCCCUUAAAUAUGUUUCCAAAGGCAAUUUAUGGUGGUGGUGGUUGGGCUGAAAUUGGAUCUCUUGACUUCCUUAGAAACAAUCCCAGCUUGAGUCAUAGAGGCAUUUUUGGCACAUGACUGUGAUGAGCAAUUGGCAGCUAACUUUGGAUUAACUCACUAACCCAAAGCAGCACGAAGCUGAAACCAUCAUCAUCCAUUCAAAACCAACACAACUUAUUCAUCCAAUUAUUCAAUUUUGUGUUACUCCUCUCCCAAAACAGUUUAUAACAAUUUAAUCAUUGCUGUUGUUGAUGAGACAUAUC